rnacentral:rRNA from 1 species
AACGUAGGAGACAAACGUUAUCCGGAGUUACUGGGCGUAAAGGGCGUGUAGGUGGUUGCGUAAGUCUGGCGUGAAAUUUUUCGGCUUAACCGGGAAAGGUCGUCGGAUACUGCGUAACUAGAGGACGGUAGAGGCGUGUGGAAUUCCGGGUGUAGUGGUGAAAUGCGUAGAGAUCCGGAGGAACACCAGUGGCGAAGGCGACACGCUGGGCCGUACCUGACGCUAAAGCGCGACAGCAUGGGGAGCAAACGGG